ACGGCCACGCCACAUUGAAAACACCGGUUCUCGUCCGAUCACCGAAGUUAAGCAAUGUCGGGCCUGGUCAGUACUUGUGAGGGUGACCACCUGGGAACACCGGGUGCUGUAGGCU